UUCCUACUCCCUCUGUCCCAUAUUAACUGACUUUCUAUUACAUGUAUCUAGACGCCUUUUAGGCAUAAAUACAUUCAUAUUUGGACAAAUUUGAGUCACUUAAUAUGGGACGGAGUGAGUAUAUG
rnacentral:pre_miRNA from 1 species